AGGAAAAGAAACCAACAGGGAUUACCUCAGUAACGGCGAGUGAAGCGGUAACAGCUCAAAUUUGAAAUCUGGCCCUUUUAGGGUCCGAGUUGUAAUUUGUAGAAGAUGCUUUGGGUGUGGCUCCGGUCUAAGUCCCUUGGAACAGGACGUCGUAGAGGGUGAGAACCCCGUAUGUGACUGGUUGCCUCCGCCCGUGUAAAGCUCUUUCGACGAGUCGAGUUGUUUGGGAAUGCAGCUCUAAAUGGGUGGUAAAUUUCAUCUAAAGCUAAAUAUUGGCCAGAGACCGAUAGCGCACAAGUAGAGUGAUCGAAAGAUGAAAAGCACUUUGGAAAGAGAGUUAAACAGUACGUGAAAUUGUUGAAAGGGAAGCGCUUGCAACCAGACUCGCGUGCCGUCGAUCAUCCGGUGUUCUCACCGGUGCACUCGGCGGUGCUCGGGCCAGCAUCAGUUUGGGUGGUGGGAUAAAGGCCUUGGGAAUGUGGCUCCUCUCGGGGAGUGUUAUAGCCCUCGGUGCAAUGCCGCCUACCUGGACUGAGGACCGCGCUUCGGCUAGGAUGCUGGCGUAAUGGUUGUAAGCGACCCG
rnacentral:rRNA from 1 species